UACGUAGGGUGCAAGCGUUAAUCGGAAUUACUGGGCGUAAAGCGUGCGCAGGCGGUUAUGUAAGACAGAUGUGAAAUGCCCGGGCUUAACCUGGGAACUGCAUUUGUGACUGCAUGGCUAGAGUUUGGCAGAGGGGGUAGAAUUCCACGUGUAGCAGUGAAAUGCGUAGAUAUGUGGAGGAACACCGAUGGCGAAGGCAGCCCCCUGGGUCAAGACUGACGCUCAUGCACGAA
rnacentral:rRNA from 1 species